CUGUUCGAUCAACAAGGGGCCAAAGGGGGAAAACCCUAGUUCAAUCCAAUACACAAGAUUAACUAAGAAAUUCAAAGAAAUUGAAAGCAUAAUCAGGAAAUUUCAAGCUCUUAUCUUGUUCAUUCAAGGGGCGUGAAGGAAGAGGGCUCGAGUGCUAAGAAAUCGGAAGGGGUACAAGAUCGAGGUAAAACUCCACUUUAGGCGAUCUGGAGAUUUGGAGCGAGCACGUGUCCAUGCCUUAUUUUAUCAAGCGCUUCCGCUAGUUUAUAUGCAUACUUUUUGGGUCCAUGUCUUGUUAUUUUGUUUAAUCUUGUUAGAAGUCAUACACUUGAAAACUUGUUGUCUUUGUUUGGGGUAGUUUAAUGCUAAUAGGGUUGUAGACGGAUGUUGUCUAUUAUGUUAAAAACAGGGGGCAUGUUUGUUUUACGAACGGGUCAUGCCUAAUUUUUGUAAAAAUUUUUAUUAUGUAUCAAAGUUGGUAUUUUGAUGUCUAAAAAA